AUUACUAAGGGCGCACGGUGGAUGCCUUGGCAUCAGGAGCCGAUGAAGGACGUGGCAAUCUGCGAUAUGCCUCGGGGAGCCGAUAAGCGGGCUGUGAUCCGAGGAUUUCCGAAUGGGGAAACCCCGUCGUCUGUGAGGGCGAUGACCUGUAUCUGAAUACAUAGGGUGCAGGGGGGAACGCGGGGAAGUGAAACAUCUCAGUACCCGCAGGAAGAGAAAACAACAGUGAUUCCGUGAGUAGUGGCGAGCGAAAGCGGAAGUGGCUAAACCGUCUGUGUGUGAUACCCGGCAGGGGUUGCAUGGGCGGGGUUGUGGGAGCAUCAGUGCCCGGUCUGCCGGCUGGGUCGUGUGAGUGCAGCGUGAUAGUCGAAUCAUCUUGAGUGGUGUGCCGUAGAGGGUGUGAGUCCCGUAGACGAAAUCAUUGUUGCCGCGCGUGGUGUUUCCCGAGUAGCACGGAGCCCGUGAAACUUCGUGUGAAUCUGCCAGGACCACCUGGUAAGCCUAAAUACUCCCUGAUGACCGAUAGCGGACCAGUACCGUGAGGGAAAGGUGAAAAGUACCCCGGGAGGGGAGUGAAAUAGAUCCUGAAACCGCAUGCAUACAAGCAGUAGGAGCACCUUCGUGGUGUGACUGCGUACCUUUUGUAUAAUGGGUCAACGACUUGGUCUGUCUAGCAAGCUUAAGCCGUUAGGUGUAGGCGCAGCGAAAGCGAGUCUUAAAUGGGCGAAUGAGUUAGACGGAUCAGACCCGAAACCGAGUGAUCUAGGCAUGAGCAGGAUGAAGGUACGGUAACACGUACUGGAGGUCCGAACCCACACCUGUUGAAAAAGGUCGGGAUGACUUGUGCCUAGGGGUGAAAGGCCAAUCAAACUCGGAGAUAGCUGGUUCUCCGCGAAAGCUAUUUAGGUAGCGCCUCGGACGAAUACCAUAUGGGGUAGAGCACUGUUUCGGCUAGGGGGUCAUCCCGACUUACCAAACCGAUGCAAACUCCGAAUACCAGCAAGUGUCAGCACGGGAGACACAC
rnacentral:rRNA from 1 species